GAUGAAGAACGUAGCGAAAUGCGAUAAGUAGUGUGAAUUGCAGAAUUCAGUGAAUCAUCGAAUCUUUGAACGCACAUUGCGCCCCUUGGUAUUCCAUGGGGCAUGCCUGUUCGAGCGUCAUUUGUACCUUCAAGCCUUGCUUGGUGUUGGGUGUUUGUCUCGCCUCUGCGCGCAGACUCGCCUCAAAACAAUUGGCAGCCGGCGUAUUGAUUUCGGAGCGCAGUACAUCUCGCGCUUUGCACUCAGAACGACGACGUCCAAAAGUACAUUUUUACACUCUUGACCUCGGAUCAGGUAGGGAUACCCGCUGAACUUAAGCAUAUCAAUAAGCGGAGA
rnacentral:misc_RNA from 1 species